UCAGAGAGGGAGUGCCCCACAAUUUUAAGGAAUUGAUGUUUAACCUGAUUGAUACUUUUGAAGAAGAGGAGCUCUUACAGAUUGUUGUGGUGACGUGGAAGCUAUGGAAAAGAAGGAAUGCAGUGAUUUUUGAAAACAUAUUAUCUCCUCCUAUAGUGCUUUUUAAUCAAGCUAUCCAAAGAUUAUCUGAAAUAGAUGCCAGAUUUCAAUCUCAACAGAUUAGAAAUUCUAUUCCUACUAUAUCUUCAGCAUGUUG